GAACCAAUGGUGCAGUAGUGAUAGCACGACAUUCCGGUAAUUUGUGGACGGUGGGUUUGAUCCCCCCUUGGUUCA